rnacentral:rRNA from 1 species
UACAGAGGGUGCGAGCGUUAUUCGGAAUUACUGGGCGUAAAGCGUGUGUAGACGGUUAUUUAAGUCGGGUGUGAAAGCCCCGGGCUCAACCUGGGAAUUGCAUUCGAGACUGAAUAGCUAGGGUACGGUAGAGGGAAGUGGAAUUUCCGGUGUAGCGGUGAAAUGCGUAGAUAUCGGGAGGAACACCAGUGGCGAAGGCGACUACCUGGCCUGUUCUUGACGCUGAGGCGCGAAAGCUAGGGGAGCAAACGGG